ensembl:lncRNA
CUCAUUUUGGGGUCCCACAUUUGGGGGUCCCACAUUUGGGGUCCCAUUUUGGAGUCCCAUUUUGGGGUCCCACAUUUGGGGGUCCCACUUUGGGGUCCCACUUUGGGGUCCCAUAUUUGGGGGUCCCACUUUGGGGUCCCAUAUUUGGGGGUCCCAUAUUUGGGGUCCCACUUUGGGGCCCCAAUUUGGGGUCCCAUAUUUGGGGGUCCCACUUUGGGGUCCCAUAUUGGGGGUCCCAUAUUUGGGGGUCCCACAUUUUGGGGUCCCAUAUUUGGGGGUCCCACUUUGGGGUCCCAUUUUGGGGUCCCACUUUGGGGUCCCACAUUUGGGGGUCCGGAAGGGGUUGGAUUCCAUGCAGAGCCUUUUUAUUGCCAUGCACCCAUAGCAGCCGUGCCCCAUAUCUGUGGGGCAGCCCCAUAUCUGUGGGGCAGCCCCAUAAGAGGCCCAGAUCUGUGGGGCAGCCCCAUAGCAGAGAUCCAGAUCUAUGGGGCAGCACCAUAGCAGGAGCCCAUAGCAGAGAUCCAGAUCUGUGGGGCUGCCCCAUAGCAGAGACGCAGAUCAAUGGGACAGCCCCAUAGCAGCAGAGAUGCAGAUCUAUGGGGCAGCCCCAUAGCAGAGAUCCAGAUCUGUGGGGCAGCCCCAUAGCAGAGACCCAGAUCUAUGGGGCAGCCCCAUAGCAGCAGAGAUGCAGAUCUAUGGGGCAGCCCCAUAGCAGUGCCCCAUAUCAGUGGGGCAGCCCCAUAGCAGCAGAGAUCCAUAUCAGUGGGGCAGCCCCAUAUCAGAGGUCCAUAUCAGUGGGGCAGCCCCAUAGCAGAGACGCAGAUCUAUGGGGCAGCCCCAUAGCAGCAGAGAUCCAGAUCUAUGGGGCAGCCCCAUAGCAGAGAUCCAUAUUAGUGGGGCAGCCCCAUAGCAGCACCCCAUAGCAGAGAUGCAGAUCUAUGGGGCAGCACCAUAGCAGCAGAGAUGCAGAUCUAUGGGGCAGCCCCAUAGCAGAGACCCAGAUCUGUGGGGCAGCCCCAUAGCAGCAGAGAUGCAGAUCUAUGGGGCAGUCCCAUAGCAGAGAUCCAGAUCUGUGGGGCAGCCCCAUAGCAGAGACCCAGAUCUAUGGGGCAGCCCAUAGCAGCAGAGAUGCAGAUCUAUGGGGCAGCCCCAUAACAGUGCCCCAUAUCAGUGGGGCAGCCCCAUAGCAGCAGAGAUCCAUAUCAGUGGGGCAGCCCCAUAGCAGCAGAGAUGCAGAUCUAUGGGGAGGCCCCAUAGCAGAGACGCAGAUCUAUGGGGCAGCCCCAUAGCGAUGCCUCAUAUCAGUGGGGCAGCCCCAUAGCAGCAGAGAUGCAGAUCUAUGGGGCAGCCCCAUAACAGUGCCCCAUAUCAGUGGGGCAGCCCCAUAGCAGCAGAGAUCCAUAUCAGUGGGGCAGCCCCGUAGCAGAGAUGCAGAUCUAUGGGGCAGCCCCAUAGCGAUGCCUCAUAUCAGUGGGGCAGCCCCAUAGCAGCAGAGAUCCACAUCAGUGGGGCAGCCCCAUAGCAGCAGAGAUGUAGAUCUAUGGGGCAGCCCCAUAGCAGAGACGCAGAUCUAUGGGGCAGCCCCAUAGCAGAGACCCAUAGCGAUGCCUCAUAUCUAUGGGGCAGCCCCAUAGCAGAGCCGCAGAUGUGUGGGGCAGCCCCAUAGCAGCAGAGAUCCAUAUCAGUGGGGCAGCCCCAUAUCAGAGGUCCAUAUCAGUGGGGCAGCCCCAUAGCGAUGCCUCGUAUCUAUGGGGCAGCCCCAUAGCAGAGCCGCAGAUGUGUGGGGCAGCCCCAUAAGUGGCGGCAGGUGUGGAUGUGGGGUCCUCAUUGGAACACUGUGGGGAGAGGGGGGGGGGGGGGGGGGCGGUCAGUGGGAUUUGGGGUCAAAUAAUGGGAUUUGGGGUCAAAUAAUGGGAUUUUGGCAUCAAAUAAUGGGAUUUUG